GGGGCCGACCUGGUUUCGACGUGGGUGCGGAUCCGAAGUAGGGCAUGCCGAGCACCAGUUCGCUCGUUAAUCCACUGGAAAAAAGUAACUGCAAACGACGAAAAGUUUGCCCUCGCUGCUUAAUUAGCACGAGGCUCCGCAACAGCAGGCCUAUGGGCUGGGGUGGCAACACCUGCGGAGUCAUUCACAUAGGCUGGUUGUUCGGUGGGCCGCACACCGGGUGACGAGAUCUAGCGGCUGGUUGGGUUGGCAGCGUGCUCCUGCGCGGUCGCUCGGCGAGAACUAAGUUCAGAGGGCUAAGCAUGUAGAACUGCCCGGUGAUGGCUUGCGGACGCGGGUUCAAUUCCCGCCGGCUCCACCA
rnacentral:tmRNA from 1 species